UACGUAGGGGGCAAGCGUUGUCCGGAAUCAUUGGGCGUAAGAGCGUGUAGGCGGCCAGGUAGGUCCGCUGUGAAAGUCCGAGGCUCAACCUCGGAAUGUCGGCGGAAACCCUCUGGCUAGAGUCCGGAAGAGGAGAGUGGAAUUCCCGGUGUAGCGGAUGAAAUGCGGCAGAAUAUCGGGAAGAACACCCGUGGCGAAGGCGGCUCUCUGGAACGGUACUGACGCUGAGAGCGAAAGCGUGGGGAGCGAACAGG
rnacentral:rRNA from 1 species